GACAGAGGUGCCGAGCGUUAGGCGGAAUCACUGGGCUUAAAGCGCGUGUAGGCGGCCCGGUAAGUCCGCUGUGAAAGUCGGGGGCUCAACCCUCGGAUGCCGGUGGAUACUGUCGGGCUCGAGUACGGAAGAGGCGAGUGGAACUCCUGUGUAGCGGUGAAAUGCGCAGAUAUCAGGAGGAACACCAAUUGCGAAGGCAGCUCGCUGGGACGUUACUGAGCUGAGACGCGAAAGCGUGGGGAUCAAACGG
rnacentral:rRNA from 1 species